AAAACCCCGAGUGACCCAUCUGCCUUAUCCCUAACCCGCUCUCGUCUCCCUCCCUAGGACGCAGCCGCCCACCGAAUCAAAUCCCGUCGUCGGGCUCGUCUGCCUCGCCGUGGCCGAUGAAUGCGUCGGCUGCGGCCACGCCCCCUCUCCAAACGGCGGCGAUGAUGGAGGGAGCAGCUCACGCUGGCCAGGCUCCCGACCGAACGCGUCGGGUCAUCUCUCCUCGGGGCCAACCCCUCCUAUUCAUCGCAUCUCUCCCUGACUCCGUCUCCUCCACGAGAUGUAGCACCACCCCACGCCAUGGACGCCCUUGCCGGCUGCAUCUCUCCAUGCGCCGCCACUCCUAUGACACCGCCGCCCGGCAGUCUCCACCAGCACCACGACGGGUGUGGCCUCUGCACGCGCCGUCACCUCCCCUCCAGAUCCGGACGUCGUCGAGGGCAUGUCCAUCCAGCAGUGCGCCGUCACCUCCCCUCCAGAUCCAGCCGUCGUCAAGGGCGUAUCCAUCCAGCAGCGCGCCGUCAUCCCAAUCAUCACCGUCCAUGGCGUCAUCGCCCAGGCCCAGUCAGGGGCCGGCAAGACCUCCAUGAUCUCCCUCUUCGUCUGCCAAGUCAUUGAGACCAACGUCCACGAGUGAUUUCCGCAUAGCUUUUGUGUAUGACGGCUGGAGGACCAACUCAGACCUCGCUUGCCCCAGGGUCAGGAGGUCCAAGGCGCCACAACCAACUGCCUCUGCAUCCAUAUGCUGGCAAUUUACUUUGAUUUUCAGUGUGGUAAUCUACAGCAAUCAAGUUAACAAAUCUGAAGCAUUUUAGCAAGGCAACGGUGCAAGUGCUCUUUUGGUGGAAGAUGAAGCUUUUGUUGGGCUUGUGAUGUUUUUCUGAAGAAGACUGACGAUGAACUCAAAAGACAAAUAACAUGCGGUUGCUACUACGGGAAUACCUGAUGUUGCUUCAUGUCAGUUAUAUCUUCCAAUAUUUACAGAAACUUCCAAAACUGGCACCAGGUCAGGACAUGCUGAUGAUAACCUUCUAGUUUUGCUAAAUCAUAGUUACUUGAGUAAUCUCUACUCCUAAAGUGUUCUUCGAAGGUGCUCAUCAAAUCUGUUGAUACACAACACCGCAGUUAUUGGUGGUUUACACUGGAUAGUUUCCAGACCUUUAUCGCAAGAUGGACGAACUUGGCAUCUCAGCCAGUACUCUGCCUCAUCAACAGUUUGAUGUCCCUUUGCAUGAAGUUAGGCCAGCAUUAGAAUAUCCGUAGCCUUUUUUAGGAGAUGAAGGUGAAGAAUAUUAAGCCGGAUAACCUCACAUGUUUCCUUCUAAUGACCAGCCAUGCGGCAUUGAACAAGAUAGAUGUUGUUGGAGAAGUUUUAGAAGAAAUGCAAGAAAAUGAUGUAGUUCUAGGGUGGUAUGCAUAUAGCAUGGUUUCUAUCUACCUGAGUGCUGGUUUGGUUUUAAAAAACAGUCUGCUCUCAAGAAACUCGAGGGCCUUGAUUUUAGAAGGUAACAUAAAUAUCUAGAUUGAUCGUUCAUGGUUCUGGGGCUCCUUGUUACAGUUCAGGCAAGAGUUUAGUCCAUAAUACUCAAUUUCAUCCUAAAGUGCGUGCCCCCUGACCCGUGGGACGACGGCACGGAGGCAAUCGCAUAACCCAGCGGCAGGGCGUGGCGGCGUUGUGGCCAGUGAGGAGCGCCGUUAGGGCGUGCCCUGAAUCGAGAGGAACAAGUAUGUUCACUUUCUGUUCGCUUUGUGUUUGCUUUCUGUAGUCUCAAAGCAGAGCAAUGGUCACUGCAAAUUUUAUCAGAGAAUGUGCAACAAAAGCACGUUGAGAAGUUCCUGUGAGCCCUAAUUAUUUCUUGAGAAAGCAAACUUAUUGAUCCUUGCUCUAUUUUUUGUGUACUAAGAUUGUUCGUUUGUACCCAGCAUGUGUAUGUGAUGUGCCCUGCCGCUGUGUGUGCUUCCUGCUAAUGUGUGUGCUUCCUGACGCUGUUGAGCAUGCGUGUGUGUGUUCGCUGUCGCUGUUUAUUAACAUUGUCAUGCUCUCCUUACUUUUUGCUUAACAAUUCAUGAUCAAUACUGAACAUUAUUUUUUGAAUAGAUGCCACUUGAACUUAGUUUUAGCUCUCAUGUUGGUCAAUAAAUCAUCAAGUAAUGUUUUGCAUGGAUUUUAUAACUGACACAAUGUUUCUGAUUUAAUGAGAGCCAACCAUGCGUUCCUGGCUUCCCCAGCGAUGCCAACAUGGCAGGGCAGGACCCAGUGGCCAUCUUCGGCGCCUUCAUGGACUUCGUCAGCGCCGACCUCUGCUUCAUCAUCUACGGCCACAACCCCUUUGUCGUCGGCAUCAUCUGGCACCUCAGAAUGCAAAUUAAAUGUGUUCAUAGAGUGGGGUGUAAUUGUGAUUUGUGCAAUGGGUUCAGAGUGGAAGGGGUUGUCAUUCUUGUUUAGCAGGGGCUGCAAGUUCUAUCGCUAUAAGCCUGACUUGCAGCGGCAACAACAGAUUCAGAUGUGGUAAGCUCAUUCAUUCAUUCUCUCAGGAGAAGAGGACCAAAUUGAUUCAAAUUUUGUGUUCUGAUCUUAAUGUUGCGAGGUUUGCGAUCGCAUGUAUGGUCGGGACUGCAUGGGUCCGGCGACCAAUUGCUUGCAUCUCUUGCUGUAUGGUGAUGAUGACCGGCUCUUGUUAAAUCCAAUACGACUGCACUUCUUCGCUUCAGGAAGAAGGUAUCCCCCCUAUACGAAGAUUUCUAGCUUGCCUAUGUGUUGAUAAGUGCAUUCGGCCAAACAAUUUGUGGACCAAAUAAACUUGUUGCAGAUACAGAAGAACAAGGCUGCACACAAGGAGUUGCCUGAAUUGCAGUGGCAGCGGUGUUGUAAUAUGUAAGGUUUUGCAUCAACUUGGUCUAUUUUCUAUCCAUAAGUCUAAUGAAUUGGCCCUUGUUUAUCAGGAAUCAAGCUUGUGAAGAAAAUUUUUGUUACUUUAAUGACACACACUUGCAGUAAGUCAUUCAGAGAUAUAUUCAGGACAUGCUAGGUUGCCAAGCUCAGAGCCACGUGUUGUCUCCAUAAAUUCGCUGAAAGCAAAAAUCAUUUGCCCAUAGUCAUGUGAAACCUUCUAGAAUUCUUUUUAGUAUUUUGCAUUGCUUGUGCAUUUCUUUUUUUAUCACUUCUAAUAACCUCAUUGAUUCAUUUUUCCUAUCGUCAUGUCAGUCCUUGCUCUAAAUUUUUUGUUAAUAUGUUGCACUUCUUAUGCAUUUCCAUUUUUAUCACUUCUAAUAAUCUCAUUGACUAUUUACAUCUCACCGUGUUUACCAAGAACACGAGUGAUACUUUUGUUUUAUAAUAAUAAUACAAUAGUGACAAUUUUAUUUUAUUUUAUUUUCUGACAUAGUUCUCAAUUAGGCUUACAAAUAUUUUACAUUGGGAGUAGUUCUGCCAUCAAGCUUAUGUGUAAUGUAUUCCUUAGAAUGGUGUUUCAGCCAUUUCUAUGUAGGCGGCAUGUGUGAUGGCACGUAUUUCAACCAUAUCGACUUAGGUGGCAUGUGUGCUGGCACAAGAAAAGGAAGGCCCUGAACUGAAAGGAGCAACAUAUAUUAAUGAAAUGCCCUGAAUUGAGAGAGAGAGAGAGAGAGAGAGUUCAAUUUAAUUUGUCUGGUUUAAAUAUUUAUGAGUAAUUUAAUUUGUUUGACCUUGAGUGUUGACUUGCUUUUCAGUUGUCAACAAUGUCCGUUUUGCUGAAUGUACUUGCUUAUCCUUCUACUGGACUACCAUUGGUUCACUGUGUACAUACACUUUCCAAUUCUGUCUGUUUACUAUCUUUUGUUAUUAUUUGUCUUGAUAACUUGAUGCUUUCUUCCUUGGUUGUUUAAUCUUAACAGUUCCACAUCCCACAUCGAACCUUCCAGACUCAUCCAAGUGACCAUUUGCAACAUCCUUUUCUGGACAAUCUGGAUUAGUUCAAGGUUUUCAUCACUCUGGUCUGCACAACAUUCAUGGAAAUUAUAGUCUUCCAAAAUAUUCCUGGAUCACUUGCAAAAAGGAAUGUUGUGAAGAGUAGCGUUCCAUCAUCUGGGGUCCAACAACCCAGAGGGAGCAUUUCUGGGAGAUUUGCUGCAAACAACCUUCCUGUUGUCAUUCUCAGAUUCCUCAUGCACAUUUAGGUGUCAGUGGUAGAGUAAUGAAUGUUGGUGGAGGUCAAGCAUUUAGAAGUGGAAUGAAUAUGGGUGGUACCAUUCAAGGUUUAUCCUCAAACUUGGGCACCAGUGGUAAUCGAAAUUAUGUUCCUGGAAACCCAGCUUUGGGUCCACGUAUUACAAACAUUGUGAGCAGAAGUAACAUUGGAAUAAAUAUAAGCUCUGGUGGGUUGUCGGUGCCGAUUAUCUCAUCACACAUCGAUUUUAGGGUCAAUGCUGCAAGUGGAAGACUAAAUGUGCAAGGAUCCAACAGGAUGAUGCAUGGCCUUAUUCUGCAAGGUAUGCCUGAUGGAGCGAUUGGGUUGAUGCUGAUGCUGAUAUACUUCCCUAAGUUGCUCCAAUCAGGAAUGCAGAUAUACUUCCGUGAGUUGCUCCCCAAAACCAAUCCCUUGCUCUUCUUUGCACCAAUGGGACAAGAGAUGCGAGCCAUCCUUUUUACUGGAUGUUCUCUUGAUCGUUUCUUCCUAUGGAUUUUGUGGUUGCCAGAUGUUCUCUCGCUGUGGAUUGGUAAAAAGACUUAACUCUUAAUCAGGGCGCGCGAUUUUGAUGAAGGUUGUAAAACAUUUUCAUUAGGCAUCAAUUUUAUUGCUGGUGUUUGUCUGGCUGUAAAAUCUGCUCAAUAUGUAUAUUUUCCUUUUGUCUGUGUCCCUUUUCCGAUAUAAUACUGAACCUUUUGGAAUAUCUCUGUAUACAAAAAAAAUGUGUUCUGUC